rnacentral:rRNA from 1 species
AACGAACGCUGGCGGCAGGCCUAACACAUGCAAGUCGAGCGAACCGCAAGGUUAGCGGCGGACGGGUGAGUAACGCGUGGGAACGUGCCCUUCUCUACGGAAUAGCCUCGGGAAACUGAGAGUAAUACCGUAUACGCCCUUAGGGGGAAAGAUUUAUCGGAGAAGGAUCGGCCCGCGUUGGAUUAGGUAGUUGGUGGGGUAAUGGCCUACCAAGCCGACGAUCCAUAGCUGGUUUGAGAGGAUGAUCAGCCACACUGGGACUGAGACACGGCCCAGACUCCUACGGGAGGCAGCAGUGGGGAAUCUUAGACAAUGGGGGAAACCCUGAUCUAGCCAUGCCGCGUGAGCGAUGAAGGCCUUAGGGUUGUAAAGCUCUUUCGCUGGGGAAGAUAAUGACGGUACCCAGUAAAGAAGCCCCGGCUAACUCCGUGCCAGCCGCCGCCGUAACAC